UAUAUUUUAGUGUAUGAUGCACAAAAGUUUUUGAUACUUUUAAAAAUAGUUUAAUUCUAUUAAAUAUAA
rnacentral:tRNA from 1 species